CUAUAAAGAAGAAAAAAAAAAGAUGAAAAAGAAGAAUUAAAUCAACAUGAAAUUGAACUUUUGUUCUAUCUUCCACAAGCAAGAAAUUCAACUGGAACAAUACAAAAUAUGAAAUUUUUAGCAAUCUUACGAGCAUUAUACACAAAUCUCAAUUCACGACAAAUAGGGGAAUGAAUCACUAACAUCACCCAAUUCGUAUAUUCAAAUAAUGUAUCCCCACUCCUAACAAGCAACGUGCUACCACAGUCGAUUAGUUGUUAGGGUUAAGGCUUACCAUAGAGAACUGGAUGGCGCUAACUAAAUGACAAGUUGAAACGGCAUCUGCAAUCGUAUUGAAUGACAUUGAACCGCGAGGUAGGGUUUAAAUGAAUACCGGGCAGAGAUAAAUUGGUGUGGUGAAUUAGGGUUUUGUGGCUACGUUUUAUUUCGAUUGAAAAAAGGAAUUUGAGCCAGGCUUUAAUAUGUAAAUUUUCGCUUAGUUGAAACAGAGGAAAGCUUUUGGGUUAUUAAAGUGAAAGAUAUGGAAUAAUACAAAAAAUUAUUGAAGUGAAAGAACAGGAAUACAAAAAAUCAGCAGAUGAGAUCGUUGAAAGAUGCGGACUGCUGUACGGCCAAGGCGGAUGUACGGUACAGCAGUGAUGGUCAUUUUGAAUCGACCGUUGAUUAAAAAAAUUCCUCAAAUAUUCACUCUAUAACAGUCCCAUGUUGAUGGCGUUGGGAAGUGUUUUCCAGAAAUGUUUUCCAUUUUUAAAAGCAUGAAUAUCGGGAAAAAAAAAUGGGAAAUACAGCGUUUUAGUUUAGUUAUUUUAAAAAUAGGCAUGUUUGAAAAUUAAAAUUUUUUAAAAACUAGCAUCAAGAUGAAAAAUGAAUUUAUAAUAUUUAAAAAUUAGCUGAAAUUCUUUCUCCGUUCCUAAUACUAAAUAGUGUAAAUGCAUUUUCAUUAUCUUUGUUUUUCUGGACUUCUAUUUAUUUAUUUUUGUUUUAAUUUUUUCCUUUUUUUCUUUAACAAAAAAUAUCUAGUAGACAUUCAUGGUUUGUUAUUUUUCAUAAAACAAUUGUAUGAUUUUGACAUACUUUGAAUCUAGUUGAAUGCUACUCUUUAUUUUCAGGUUGGAAUUCCCAAUAGUCUAGUGAAUCUUAAUGUAUCACUCUGUGAAAAAAUAGAAGAAAUCAUAGGACAUGUUGGAGAAGAAGCGAAGGAGAAUCGUAUUGCUUUCAGCGAAUUAAAACUUUUGGAACUUGAUUAUUUACCAAGGCUUACCAGCUUUUGUUCGGAGAAUUACACUCUUGAAUUCCCAUCAUUGGAACAAGUUUCUAUGACACAUUGUCUGAACAUGAAGACUUUUUCUCAGGGAAUCUUAUCCACACCAAAGCUAUGCAAAGUGCAAGUGAGUAAAAGGAAGUAUUAAGUUUUAUAUGAAACUGUGAUGUUGUUAGGUUACUAAGAAAAUAGGAAGAAAGAAAACUUCUGUAAGCUGAGAAUUCUGUUAUUAUUGAUCUAAUGAAUCUGGAAAUUACAAGCCUUUUUAUAUGUGCAUAGAAGAUUCUACACACAUUGCACACACGCACAGGUUACUACUAACAACCUCUAUAACAACCUUUAGCUGACUCAGCUGCCAUGUCAGCAUACUCAUUAACUAACUAAUUCUAUUCUUAACAGGAAGAGGGUGAAUUGCGCCGUUGGGAAGGCAACCUUAAUUCCACUAUACAAAAGUGUUACGAAGAAAUGGUAUGUGUUAAAUCGAUUCGUCGAAAUUACUUAUGCAUCUCCCUUGCACUUGCACAUUUGAACAUAUAAGUUUAAUGUAUAUAUAUAUCUAUGCCUUUCAAAAAGAAAAAAUUGUAUAUAUCCAGUGCAAUUGUUUUGGUUUGUGCAGAUUGGAUUUCGUGACAUAAUACAUUUGCAACUCUCGCAUUUUCCACGUUUGAAAGAAAUAUGGCAUGGCCAAGCACUGCCUGUCAGCUUCUUCAACAAUUUAUUCGACCUGGUGGUGGAUGACUGCACGAAUAUGUCGAGUGCUAUUCCUGCUAAUCUGCUACGGUGCUUGAACAAUUUGGUAUACCUGGAAGUGAGGAAUUGUGAUUCACUUGAAGAGGUGCUUCAUUUGGAAGAGCUAAUUAAUGCUGACAAAGAACAUAUAGGCCCCCUGUUUCCUAAGCUUUUCAAGCUAGGGCUCACUGACCUUCCAAAACUCAAAAGAUUUUUCAACUUCACUAGGAAUAUAAUUGAACUGCCUAAGUUGAGAUAUCUAACUAUUGAGAAUUGCCCUGAUAUGGAAACAUUCAUAUCCAAUUCUACAUCUGUACUGCACAUGACAGCAGAUAAUAAGGAAGCUCAAAAAUUAAAAUCAGAAAAGAACCUCUUGGUAGCUGAUCAAAUACAACAUCUCUUCAAUGAAAAGGUAAUCAUUAUUAUUAUUUUUCCCUUCACUUUCAUUCGCACAGAUGUAAUUUCAUUAGAAUCAAAUCAAAUUUAAUGACUCAUCUUUUUACAUGUCGUCUUAAUUUAUAUCUGAUUUAACAAUAUAACCUCCGUUAUUAACUAACUUUAUAGUAUGAAUUAUAAAAAUGUCUUAAAUUAUUUCGAUGACUGGUAACAUGAGGUGAUGAACUAUAUUUCAAUUAUGCUUGUCGCAUCUCUGUUUUCCUAGCUAAUUCAUUUGGAUUUAGUAUCAGAUUUCAUUUAUGUGUUUCAAAGGGUAAUCGAUUUGAUACUUAUAUUUGGGAUCCUACUGCAAAGCAUACUAAUUUGGAAAAAAAAAUAUAAAAUGCUGUGAUUAAUCUUGUCCAUAAAAUAUGCAGGGGAAGACUGCAGAGAUUGGAUACAUAUUUUAAUUUACAACUUAAUUUUGUUGAUUUUCAGGUUGCAUUCCCUAAAUUGAGGGAGUUAAAGCUGUCUAAAUUACACAAAGUGCAGCAUCUCUGGAAGGAAAAUGACGAAUCCAACAAAGCGUUUGCAAACUUGGGAAGUCUAGAAAUAUCAGAAUGUAGUAAGUUACAAAAAUUAGUACCACCUUCGUGGCAUUUGGAAAAUCUGUGGGGACUACAAGUAUCGAAGUGUCACGGGUUGAUAAAUGCGUUGACGCUCUCAGCAUCUAAAAAUCUAGUGAAUCUUCAAAGAAUAAAGAUAGCUGAUUGCAAAAUGAUAGAAGAAAUCAUACAAUCGCAGGUUGGAGAAAAAACGAAAGAUUGCAUUGUUUUCAAGGAAUUAAAGUACUUGGAACUUGAUUGUUUGCCAAUCCUAACAAGCUUUUGUUUGGGUAAUUACGCUCUUGAAUUCCCGUCCUUGAAACAAGUAGUUGUGAGACAGUGUCCAAAAAUGAAGAUCUUCUCUCAAGGAGUCUUAGACACACCAAUGCUAAACAAAGUGAACGUCACCGAAGAAGAAAAAGAUGAUGAUGAAGGAUGUGGGGAAGGCAACCUCAAUGACACCAUAAAAAAAUUGUUCAAUGAAAUGGUGAGUAUCAAUUAAGUUUUGGUGCUAUUUAGAUAAAAUAAGAAGAGCUUACUAGGUGCAUUUGAUCAACAAUCCAAUCCUCAACGAUGGAAUCGAUGCCAUCAAAUAAACAUGACUUAAUCUUGAAACCACAAACUGCACUAAGCAUAGCACCAAAGCCAGAGCGUGACUAUAAAGAAGAAGAAAAAAGAAGGCAAAGAAGAAUUAAAUUAACAUGAAAUUCAACUGGAACAAUACAAAAUAUGAAAUUUUUAGCAAUCUUACGAGCAUUAUACACAAAUCUCAAUUCACGACAAAUAGGGGAAUGAAUCACUAACAUCACCCAAUUCGUAUAUUCAAAUAAUGUAUCCCCACUCCUAACAAGCAACGUGCUACCACAGUCGAUUAGUUGUUAGGGUUAAGGCUUACCAUAGAGAACUGGAUGGCGCUAACUAAAUGACAAGUUGAAACGGCAUCUGCAAUCGUAUUGAAUGACAUUGAACCGCGAGGUAGGGUUUAAAUGAAUACCGGGCAGAGAUAAAUUGGUGUGGUGAAUUAGGGUUUUGUGGCUACGUUUUAUUUCGAUUGAAAAAAGGAAUUUGAGCCAGGCUUUAAUAUGUAAAUUUUCGCUUAGUUGAAACAGAGGAAAGCUUUUGGGUUAUUAAAGUGAAAGAUAUGGAAUAAUACAAAAAAUUAUUGAAGUGAAAGAACAGGAAUACAAAAAAUCAGCAGAUGAGAUCGUUGAAAGAUGCGGA
rnacentral:lncRNA from 1 species